UGCUUACACAUGCAAGUCGAGCGGUAAGGCCCUUCGGGGUACACGAGCGGCGAACGGGUGAGUAACACGUGAGCAACCUGCCCCUGACUCUGGGAUAAGCGGUGGAAACGCCGUCUAAUACCGGAUACGACCCACCACCUCAUGGUGGAGGGUGGAAAGUUUUAUCGGUCAGGGAUGGGCUCGCGGCCUAUCAGCUUGUUGGUGGGGUAACGGCCUACCAAGGCGAUUACGGGUAGCCGGCCUGAGAGGGCGACCGGCCACACUGGGACUGAGACACGGCCCAGACUCCUGCGGGAGGCAGCAGUGGGGAAUAUUGCACAAUGGGCGAAAGCCUGAUGCAGCGACGCCGCGUGGGGGAUGACGGCCUUCGGGUUGUAAACCUCUUUUACCACCAACGCAGGCUCCACGUUCUCGUGGGGUUGACGGUAGGUGGGGAAUAAGGACCGGCUAACUACGUGCCAGCAGCCGCGGUAAUACGUAGGGUCCGAGCGUUGUCCGGAAUUAUUGGGCGUAAAGAGCUCGUAGGCGGCAUGUCGCGUCUGCUGUGAAAGACCGGGGCUUAACUCCGGUUCUGCAGUGGAUACGGGCAUGCUAGAGGUAGGUAGGGGAGACUGGAAUUCCUGGUGUAGCGGUGAAAUGCGCAGAUAUCAGGAGGAACACCGGUGGCGAAGGCGGGUCUCUGGGCCUUACCUGACGCUGAGGAGCGAAAGCAUGGGGAGCGAACAGGAUUAGAUACCCUGGUAGUCCAUGCCGUAAACGUUGGGCGCUAGGUGUGGGGACUUU
rnacentral:rRNA from 1 species